rnacentral:rRNA from 1 species
GCGGCGGAGCAUGCGGAUUAAUUCGAUGCAACGCGAAGAACCUUACCAAGGCUUAGACAUAUACAGGAAAUGGCUGGAAACAGUCCCCCCGCAAGGUCUGUAUACAGGUGGUGCAUGGUUGUCGUCAGCUCGUGUCGUGAGAUGUUGGGUUAAGUCCCGCAACGAGCGCAACCCUCGUCCUAUCGUUGCCAGCACGUAAUGGUGGGAACUCAUGGGAGACUGCCGGGGUCAACUCGGAGGAAGGUGGGGAUGACGUCAAAUCAUCAUGCCCCUUAUGUCUUGGGCUUCACGCAUGCUACAAUGGCCGGUACAAAGGGCUGCAAUACCGCAAGGUGGAGCGAAUCCCAAAAAGCCGGUCUCAGUUCGGAUUGGAGUCUGCAACUCGACUCCAUGAAGUCGGAGUCGCUAGUAAUCGCGGAUCAGCUAAGCCGCGGUGAAUGCGUUCUCGGGGAUU